rnacentral:rRNA from 1 species
CAUGGUUGUCGUCAGCUCGUGUCGUGAGAUGUUGGGUUAAGUCCCGCGACGAGCGCAACCCUCGACCUUAGUUGCCAGCAUUCAGUUGGGCACUCUAAGGUGACUGCCGGCUAAAAGUCGGAGGAAGGUGGGGAUGACGUCAAAUCAUCAUGCCCCUUAUGACCUGGGCUACACACGUGCUACAAUGGGCGGUACAAAGGGUCGCGAACCCGCGAGGGGGAGCCAAUCCCAAAAAGCCGCUCUCAGUUCGGAUUGCAGGCUGCAACUCGCCUGCAUGAAGCCGGAAUCGCUAGUAAUCGCGGAUCAGCAUGCCGCGGUGAAUACGUUCCCGGGCCUU